UUGAUUCAAUUUGUUUUUACUCAGACGCCACAGUGAGCAGGGUUCGAUGGUCCUCUGGCGGGCGCUCUCCAGCCGGAGCCGGCGGCGCGUAGGCACCCGGCCCGCCAAAGCAACAGUGUUAGGUUAACAAAGGGUGGGAGUAGGCGCCCAGAGGGCACCGGUACUCUGUAAUGAUCCUUCCGCAGGUUCACCUACGGAAA
rnacentral:misc_RNA from 1 species